UAACUUCUUGUCUUCAUUUUACCCUUCGUCAUCCUUCAAAUCUCUCUCACUAUCUGCCAUUCUACUCAAAUGUAUGUUUCUCUGAAGCAAUGAAGACGAAGAAGAUGGCUCAGAUCUACGCUCUUUUUGUUCUUCAUUUUACCUUCUUGUUUUCUACUGGUCUCUCUCACUCUUAUUCACUCGCUAGUUCCAACAGCGAUCUUUCAGACAAAGAAGUCCAUCUGAUCCGACAGCGACAGCUUCUGUACUACCGCGACGACUUUGGCGACCGUGGCGAGAAUGUUGUCGUCGACCCAUCUCUCGUCUUCGAGAAUCCACGUCUACGAAGUGCUUACGUAGCUCUUCAAGCUUGGAAACAAGCCAUCCUCUCUGAUCCAAACAACUUCACCACCAACUGGAUCGGCUCAGACGUCUGCAGUUACACCGGCGUUUACUGUGCUCCGGCGCCGGAUAACCCACGGAUCCGUACAGUCGCCGGGAUAGAUCUCAACCACGCUGACAUUGCUGGAUACUUGCCUCAAGAGCUUGGUUUGUUAACGGAUCUUGCUCUGUUCCACGUUAACUCGAACCGGUUUUGUGGAACCGUACCGCAUCGGUUUAACCGGCUUAAGCUUCUGUUCGAGUUAGAUCUCAGCAAUAACCGGUUCGCCGGUAUAUUUCCUGCGGUUAUCCUCCAGUUACCGUCGUUGAAGUUUCUGGAUCUACGGUUUAACGAGUUUGAAGGACCUGUACCGAGAGAGCUCUUCAGUAAAGAUCUAGAUGCGAUUUUCAUUAACCAUAACCGGUUCCGGUUCGAGUUACCGGAUAAUUUGGGAGAUUCACCGGUUUCCGUCAUCGUUGUGGCGAAUAAUCAGUUCCACGGUUGUAUUCCGACGAGUUUGGGCGAUAUGAGGAACUUGGAAGAGAUCAUCUUCAUGAACAAUGGGUUUAACUCUUGCUUGCCGUCGGAGAUCGGACGGUUGAAAAACGUCACCGUGUUUGAUUUCAGUUUCAACGAGCUGGUGGGGUCGUUACCGGCGAGUACCGGCGGAAUGGUUUCGUUGGAACAGUUAAAUGUGGCGCAUAAUAGAUUCUCCGGGAAGAUUCCGGCGAGUAUUUGUCAGUUGCCGAGACUGGAGAACUUUAAUUUCAGCUACAAUUUCUUCACCGGAGAGCCGCCGGUAUGUAUCGGUUUGCCUGGGGUUGAUGAUCGGCGUAACUGUAUACCGACGAGACCUGCGCAGAGAUCUCCGGGGCAAUGUGCGGCUUUCUUGUCUUUGCCGCCGGUGAAUUGUGCAUCGUUUGGAUGUGGGCGUUCUGUUACUCCUAGUCCUCGGCCUCCGGUUGUAGUCCCGUCACCGCCGACAACACCAUCUCCUGGUGGUUCACCUCCUUCGCCGUCUAUUUCGCCAGCUAGUCCUCCGAUGGUGGUGCCGCCGUCUCCCAUUUCUCCAAUUCCUGGUCCUGUUUCGCCGUCUAGUCCUCCAACCAUUGGUCCGUCUCCUCCGUCAACUCCACCGUCACCGGGUUCUCAGUCACCGCCUGGUUCUCCUAGUCCUCCUGGUGUAGUUCCAUUUCCUCCUCCCACUCCGGUUUAUUCUCCUCCAUCACCACCACCAUCGACAGGUCACUCCCCGCCAUCACCCUCGCCGCCGAAUACAGCUCCGCAAGAAAUACCACAACCAUCUCCCUCACAGCCACCUCAAUUUUCACCACCACCAACCCCUUACUAUUACAGCUCACCCCCUCCGCCGCCACAUUACUGGUUACCUCCACCACCGCACUCACCACCACCACCGGUUUAUCACUAUCCAUCCCCACCACCUCCACCAACGCCAGUAUAUUCCCCUCCGCCACCUUGCAUAGAUCACUCACCACCUCCACCUCCGCCUCCGACCGUACAUUACACUCCUCCGCCAUCACCUGUUUACUACAACUCACCUCCACCACCACCGUCCGUCCACUAUAGUCCGCCGCCAUCUUCGCCACCUCCUCCGGUGAUUCACCAUAGCCCACCACCGCCACCUCCUGGUUACGAGGGACCACUACCGCCUAUUCCCGGAGUAUCAUACGCUUCUCCUCCACCGCCUCCCUACUAUUGAUUAUUUUCAGGCUUUUCUCGCAUGGGUUCCAUCAGUUAUGCCAAAACCCAAAACCGAAACGUUGUCGUCUCACAUCGAAGGAUACGGAGUCGUUUAUACCAUUUAUUCCAGAGGUGUGUGUGGUGGACUGGUGAAAGAUAUAUAUUCGCGAGGAGGAAAAUUAUCUAAGAUAAAUUAGGAGUUGCGGGGAAAAAGAAUAUGUAUAAGAGAAAUUAUUAAAAAAAUGGAGCAACUCAUCUUUAUGCUCCUUAUAUCUUUCAUUAGUCUUGUUUAGCUUAUAUAAUAAAAAUCAUUGUUGCUUAAACUGUUUUGUAUUUUUGUCUUAUAAAUUAAACUAUCUUUUUGAAAUUUCUUUUUCAUAUGAGUAUUUUUAAUAGAAAUUCUCACUCCUAUUAAUCAGUAUAUCUUAACUACAUUAAACUGGUAUGUGAUUGAAUUCGCUCUAAAGUGAUAAACCAAGUAGGGCUAAUGUAUGUGCACUUGCACCUCCUGACUACUUACAUAGUGAUAUUAUUUCUGUUGGUAUAUGGAUAGUUCCAAGAUAGUUCUAACACCAAUUUUAGUUCAGCUCUAUUUUUUAUUUUGUAACGGAAGAAUUUUAAAUUACAGAUGAUAUUUUGUUAUAGUAUUUUCAUUGAGAACCCAUGUUUAUUUAUGAUAAAUUUUAUGUUUUUCAUUUUAUAAAAAAUGCUAUUUUUACUUUAAAUAUCGAAAAAUAACACUACAUCUUUCCUUUUGUCUUUCUUCAAUGCAUCUUCUAUCUUAACUCAAUUAACACCAUCUUUCUAUAUUAACUUAAAUUCGAUUAUUUUUAUAAGUAAUUUAGAGGAUCUAUAGUUACGUUGUCUAUUAGAUCUAAUCUUCAGAUUUUUGAAAACUAACCAAUCUAGAUUUGCAAGAACCAUUCUACAUAAGUUCAAAAAAAAAAAAAAGAACCAUUCUACAUAUUAUUUGAGGCUACGAUUCAGAUUUCAUUUGAAUAUCCAAAGAUAAAAUUUAUUCAUGGACUCCAUUUCAAUUUAGAGACUAAACUAAACACUUCUAUAGAUUUAUUCAUGAACUUUUAUAAAUUCGCCUUUUUGUACCUCUGAACUUCGUACAUUGGACUAAUUUUAAUAUUGAUGAAGAAAUUAAAAAAUUUCUACACAUUAAAUUUUAAUAUUGCAUAUAGUUUAAAAAUUAGAUUCUUAAAAUUUUGUUUUAGUAAAAAAAAAUUUAUAUUUAAUAUAACCUUUCAAACUUAUUUUAAUAUACUAUCUUACUUAUAUGUAAGUAUAUUUACUAAUUUAUAAAACUAUCAUAAUUAUAUAUCUUUACAAAGAAUUUUCAAAAUUAGUUUUUGUGGUCCAACUAUGUGUCCAAUCUUUUUAUUUACUUUUUAAAACAUUAUUAUAUCGAUCGGACUUAUAAUAAUCUUAUUGCCAACUGUCCAGUCUAAACCGUUUUAUCGCCACGUGGUAAAUUUACCGUGACCAGUACGUUUUGUUUGUCAUUUUCAUCUAUCCUAUAAUUUCCGGAUGUUACCGCCACCAUUCGCAGCCGCACGUCGACAUACGUUUGAUAUAGGAGCAAAUGUAACUUAUUACACCACACGUGUAUGGGUACUGACUACAGAGUAUCUACUUAUCACCCUCUAAUCUACGUAUUAAAAUACUUUAGUAAAUACGAGAACAAAAUAGGAAUUCAAAAACGAAGAUUUUAUAUUAUAUAAUGCCAAGAUUAGUAUAGUCUUGUUGUUAUUAUCCUCUACUACAUAUUUGAUAACGUCCGACCUACAAAGUUUACCCUCCUGAAAAUUCUCCACCGGAAUCAUCACCACAAGCUUCAAGAAGGCGACGUUCUCUCUGAUUUAAUAAUUCAUCUUGCUUUUCAAAGUGUAAUAAAAUAAGAGUGCACAGAGAGAGUAUAUGCGUGUAGGGCUGAGCUGUGAAAGACCUGUCCUCUCUCUCUAAUAAUUCUCUCUUUCACACUGUUGUUUUCUAACUUCUUGUCUUCAUUUUACCCUUCGUCAUCCUUCAAAUCUCUCUCACUAUCUGCCAUUCUACUCAAAUGUAUGUUUCUCUGAAGCAAUGAAGACGAAGAAGAUGGCUCAGAUCUACGCUCUUUUUGUUCUUCAUUUUACCUUCUUGUUUUCUACUGGUCUCUCUCACUCUUAUUCACUCGCUAGUUCCAACAGCGAUCUUUCAGACAAAGAAGACCAUCUGAUCCGACAGCGACAGCUUCUGUACUACCGCGACGACUUUGGCGACCGUGGAGAGAAUGUUGUCGUCG
rnacentral:lncRNA from 1 species